ensembl:lncRNA
AGUUAUGGUGUUAGUCGCAUGACCAGCACACUGAUCCAGGCUGCCAUCUGCCUGCAUCAGAAAAUGAGCCAAAACUUCCUUCCCACAGCCAUUCGGUUCCACUUCAUUUUCAAGCUCAUAGACAUCUCAAACAUCUUCCAGACAAACUGUUGGAGGAGAAAAACAUUGAGCUAUUCAACAAGAUUCUGCUAGACAUGGGCAAGAGAUACUUUGAGGGUAUAGAUGAGUCUAUUUUUAUCAACCAGCCAUUGAUCUACUCCCAUUUCGCUCACAGUGUGGGUGAGCCACGUUAUGCACAGGUGACUGACCUGGAGAAGCUUCAGAAGAUACUGAUGGACGCUUUUGAGCACUACAAUGAGCUGUACUCUGACAUGAACCUGGUGCUGUUUGAAGAACCUGCUUUUUGCUGUAUUUAACAGAAUUUACUUAAAUAAUGCAUAAAACACCUCAUAAAUAUUAGUUUGUCUUGAAGUUUA